GCUUACGGCCAUAUCAGCCUGGGUACGCCCGAUCUCGUCUGAUCUCGGAAGCUAAGCAGGGUCGGGCCUGGUUAGUACUUGGAUGGGAGACCGCCUUGGAAUACCAGGUGCUGUAAGCA
rnacentral:rRNA from 1 species